UGGCUAAUUUAUUCCAGGAGUCUCAAAAGAACAAAGUAAUGGAGGCAGAAAUAAACUUUGUUAAUCAUCAAUUGAAUAUUGUUGAUGAUUCACCAAUGACCAACAAUGAGGAAAAGGUUGAUGAUAUUACUGAACCUUCUGAAAGUAUCUUUUGGGAUAUCGUUUAAUUUCUUGUUUUAAUUAAACAUCCUGCAUGUAUAAUAUUAUUAGUUUUCAUUCUAUACGUGAUAUGUGUUUCUCAUG
rnacentral:lncRNA from 1 species